UUCCCCUAGUNACUGCGAGUGAAGCGGGAAAAGCUCAAAUUUAAAAUCUGGUGGUUUUGCCAUCCGAGUUGUAAUCUGGAGAAGCGUUUUCUGUGCUGGACCGUGUACAAGUCUCUUGGAACAGAGCGUCAUAGAGGGUGAGAAUCCCGUCCAUGACACGGACACCCAGUGCUAUGUGAUACGUUUUCAAAGAGUCGAGUUGUUUGGGAAUGCAGCUCAAAAUGGGUGGUAAGCUCCAUCUAAAGCUAAAUAUUGGCGAGAGACCGAUAGCGAACAAGUACCGUGAGGGAAAGAUGAAAAGCACUUUGGAAAGAGAGUUAAACAGUACGUGAAAUUGUUGAAAGGGAAACGCUUGAAGUUAGUCGCGUCUUACUUGACUCAGCCUUGCUUCGGCUUGGUGUAUUUCAUGUGAGACGGGUCAACAUCGAUUUUGACCGGCAGACAAGGGGAGUAAGAAUGUGGCACUCUUCGGAGUGUGUUAUAGCUUAUUCUCAUAUGUGUCGGUUGGGAUCGAGGACCGCAGCGCGCCCUUGUGGCCGGAGGUUCGCCUCACGUUACGCGCUUAGGAUGUUGGCAUAAUGGCUUUAAGCGACCCGUCUUGAAACACGGACCAAGGAGUCUAACAUGCUCGCGAGUGUUAGGGUGGAAAACCCUUGCGCAGAAUGAAAGUAAAAGUUGGGAACCUCCGCAAGGGGGCGCACCGACGCCCGGCCCAGAAGUUUACGGACGGUGCUGCGGUAGAGCGCGUAUGUUGGGACCCGAAAGAUGGUGAACUAUGCCUGAAUAGGGCGAAGCCAGGGGAAACCCUGUGUGGAGGCUCGUAGCGAUUCUGACGUGCAAAUCGAUCGUCAAAUUUGGG
rnacentral:rRNA from 1 species